rnacentral:rRNA from 1 species
UGGGGAAUAUUGCACAAUGGGCGCAAGCCUGAUGCAGCCAUGCCGCGUGUGUGAAGAAGGCCUUCGGGUUGUAAAGCACUUUCAGCGAGGAGGAAGGUGGUGAACUUAAUACGUUCAUCAAUUGACGUUACUCGCAGAAGAAGCACCGGCUAACUCCGUGCCAGCAGCCGCGGUAAUACGGAGGGUGCAAGCGUUAAUCGGAAUUACUGGGCGUAAAGCGCACGCAGGCGGUUUGUUAAGUCAGAUGUGAAAUCCCCGGGCUCAACCUGGGAACUGCAUUUGAAACUGGCAAGCUAGAGUCUCGUAGAGGGGGGUAGAAUUCCAGGUGUAGCGGUGAAAUGCGUAGAGAUCUGGAGGAAUACCGGUGGCGAAGGCGGCCCCCUGGACGAAGACUGACGCUCAGGUGCGAAAGCGUGGGGAGCAAAACAGGAUUAGAUACCCUGGUAGUCCACGCUGUAAAACGAUGUCGAUUUGGAGGUUGUGCCCUUGAGGCGUGGCUUCCGGAGCUAACGCGUUAAAUCGACCGCCUGGGGAG